rnacentral:rRNA from 1 species
UACGGGGGAGCAAGCGUUGUUCGGAUUUACUGGGCGUAAAGGGCGCGUAGGCGGUCGUGACAAGUCACUUGUGAAAUCUCCGGGCUUAACUCGGAACGGUCAAGUGAUACUGUCGGACUAGAGGUACAGAAGGGGCAACUGGAAUUCUCGGUGUAGCGGUGAAAUGCGUAGAUAUCGAGAGGAACACCUGGCGGCGAAGGCGGGUUGCCUGGGCUGAUAACUGACGCU